GACGAACGCUGGCGGCGUGCUUAACACAUGCAAGUCGAACGGAAAGGCUCCAGCUUGCUGGAGUACUCGAGUGGCGAACGGGUGAGUAACACGUGGGUGAUCUGCCCUGCACUUCGGGAUAAGCCUGGGAAACUGGGUCUAAUACCGGAUAGGACCGCACUUUGGUGUGUGUGGUGGAAAGGUUUUUCUGGUGUGGGAUGAGCUCGCGGCCUAUCAGUUUGUUGGUGGGGUAAUGGCCUACCAAGACGGCGACGGGUAGCCGGCCUGAGAGGGUGGACGGUCACAUUGGGGCUGAGAUACGGCCCAGACUCCGACGGGGGGCAGCAGUGGGGAAUAUUGCACAAUGGGGGAAACCCUGAUGCAGCGACGCCGCGUGGGGAAUGAAGGCCUUCGGGUUGUAAACUCCUUUCGCUAGGGACGAAGCUUUUUGUGACGGUACCUGGAGAAGAAGCACCGGCUAACUACGUG
rnacentral:rRNA from 1 species